CAAAGUUGAUCGUGUUUAUGACGUCGAAGAUCGACGUCAUAAACACCUAAGUUGAUCGUGUUUAUGACGUCGAAUAUCGACGUCAUAAACACCAAAG
rnacentral:miRNA from 1 species